UUCGUCAUUUAGUGGUGUUCGAAACGUUGAUGUGUGUGGAAGUGAAGUUUAACUUUUCUAACAUACUUAUCUCAAUAAAAUAACAAUAACCUAGUAACAAAAGUACAAUCUCUUUUUUCAACGUGCUUGAAUAGACAUUUUACGUGACAUUAGUUGUUGAAAAAACGAAAAAUGUGUGAUAAUAACAAUCCUUCGACGCAAAGUAUAGCGGACUACUUAGCUCAGUUGCUCAAAGACAGGAAGCAACUGGCCGCGUUCCCGAAUGUUUUCAUGCACAUGGAACGACUUCUGGAUGAAGAAAUAGCAAAAGUACGAGCGAGUCUAUUUCAAAUAAAUGGCGUUAAGAAGGAACCACUUAUUCUACCAGAAGCAGAAGGCAUGGUCACAACACUCACAGAAAAAGUAUACGUGCCAGUCAAAGAACAUCCAGAUUUCAACUUCGUGGGAAGGAUUCUGGGGCCCAGAGGUAUGACAGCUAAGCAGCUAGAGCAGGAGACGGGCUGCAAAAUCAUGGUCAGAGGCAAGGGGUCCAUGAGAGACAAGAAGAAGGUGAGCAUUACUGAAGACGCGAACAGGGGCAAGCCCAACUGGGAGCACCUGGCGGACGACCUGCACGUGCUGCUGACGGUGGAAGACACCGAGAACAGGGCCAAGCUGAAGCUCGCCAGGGCCGUAGAGGAGGUCAAGCGCCUACUUAUUCCCCAAGCGGACGGCGAAGAUGAAUUGAAGAAACGCCAAUUAAUGGAAUUGGCCAUCAUCAACGGCACCUACCGCGACUCUAGCGCGAAAGCCGUCGUGCCUGUCAACGGUCAGUGCCUCAUAACGGACGAGGAAUGGCGUCGCGUCGCCGCCGCCGCGGCCGAGACGCAGCGACUGCUGGCGCCAGGAGGUGGGGUGGGCGGCGUCGCUCUGCGCACGCAGGCCCCGCUCGGGGCGCCUCUGAUUCUGUCCCCGAGGAUGUCGGCAGGCCCCGGCGCCCAGGCUGGGCUCCUGAACGGCACCGGCGCGGGCGCCGCGGCCGGCCUGCUGUCCCCGGGCGAACCGGCGCACCAGCUGAUCUACGCGUCCCCCUACGCCGACUACGCUAACUACGCGGCCCUCACCGCCGCCGCCGCCAACCCGCUACUCACUGCGGAGUACGCCACUACUGACCAUACGGCGUCGAGAUACCUACUUGCUGGCUUUUGACAUUGGCCGCAAACGCAUCAUCAGUCCGCCAUAAGAUACGACCGCCACGCGACGUAUCGACCUCCGCAUCAUUAUUGACGUCCUUUGUAAACACCACUUGUCCCAGGACGCACUUUACAGUCAUUUAAAGCCAUGAUCAAUCUAGGUUAAGCUAUCUGUUAAGCAAAACACUACAACACAAUCAUUUUGUACCUAUGAUGAUGUUAUAACUAUGUCAAGUUAAGAAAGCUUCGUUUCUUUCACGGCUGUUUGUACCAGUUUUACAAAAGGUAUUUUACGUAUUUGAAAAAAACAGAGAUUUAUUUAUUUAUAUACAUUAUGAAGAUUUUUUGAAAUACCUAUUUACAGAUUAAUAUAUUUCAAUUAUUUAUUAUUUAAUAUUUACGUUUUUACAUACUCGACUUGUUAGGAUAGAUGUAUGGCAGUUGAAGUAACUGUUUUAAAAAUAGACAAUACUUAAUUUUACGAAUAAGUUGAACUGCCAACAAAAAUCUUUUAGUUACCGAUGUAUCUUAACAAAGAAGUAGAGUUUUUAUAUUUAUUUGUUUUUUAUGUUGUUUUUUUUUUAAAUAUGAUAGUCAUAAUAAAGCCGGUCAUUUUAUCAUCUUGUGAUAACCCUUGCUUGUAACACCACUAAUUAUAUUAACAUACCUACUGUAAUGUUGAUACGUAUCCAAUUUCUUUGAGUUUUAGACUACUACUAAUACAUGUUUUUCUGCCACGACUUUAGUCUCACUCUAGUGCCACGGUCAUGCAUGCUGUUUUUGUCGUGUCUAUACUCUGCUCGACCCAUACUCACUACUUAUUUCUGAAACUCAGAAUAAGUUACAAAUAAGCAUCCGCUAAUUACAAGCAAAAGGGACCAAAAUAUGUUAUUUGAUUUUAUUUACAGAACAAUAUCUUAAUUUUAACUUUAUAACACACUUACAAUUUAAUAAUACGAACAUUUUACAUUUCGAUCAAAAAUGAACAACAUUCUAGGCGGUUCUAAAUGUUAUAAAAUGAUGUCGUAAUUUAUUAAUUUAUUAGCCAUACUUAUAUUUAUAAACAUACCAUAGGUUAAGUAUUAUUAUCUUUUAAAGAUUUAGAUAGGAUAAAAAGAGUGAGCUUUAUGAAAAUAUUAUAUCCGUAUUUUGUGUAGGUUUAUAUGUAAUACAGUUGAUUGUAGAGUCAAUUUAUUUUAUUUAAAAUGAAAUUACGAAGCCAGCCAUUACCUGUACCUUGACCGGGAUACUUUUACCCGUGAUUUUAUUAUUUUAUUUCCAAAGCACUAAAAUAAUAGGUAAUCUGUAGGCGUAGGCAUAAUAUUAUGAUAUAAAUAAAAUAGGAUUACUGCCAAACAAAAGCUUCGAUAAAAAUAGUAUUAUGUAUCUAGUUGACAAUGACGAGUAUUUGGCAGUGAUAGAUAGCUAUCGGAAAAGUUUAGCAUAGGUUUAUUUGAAUAUAGAAUAAUGAGAUUUUCUUUUCAGCAUUUAAAAUACGCAGAGCUUGAACCACUGAUUUAAUUCGACAAUUAUUAAAUCAUCGCUAAUGACCUUAAAUGUCUUUAAUAAUGUGUGUUAUAAAAAUAUUAGUCUUGGAAAUCCUAUAUAUGCCUUCCUGAUACAAGUAAAACCUUAUAUAUGUUUCGUAAUAAUAAAAAUCAUAUUUCAAGCUCUGAUGUAAUAAUGGUGACACAGAUGAUUUAUAUGCAUAUGCCGCUAGGUGUCGUGCGGCGGGCGGGUCGGCUCGCGCAAGUGAGGGAGCACCCUUACCAACGCACUGCCUUACCGGCGCCUUAAUUCCCGCCAAAACGCUCUCACGCCGCCAUUUUGUUCACAAGGAGAGUGCUAACGGCGCAGAGGGACUAACCGGAGCCGCGGCCGGUGCUGCCGCCCUCGCCGCGUAACAUUAUCAUCGGAACAUCGUCCACCAUGUAGCUAUAGCUGUUGGGCCUUUCACGUUAACAUAUACUAUGUAUUAUAAUAGUCUAACUAUUAACAUUUAUCUGCCUGUUAUGUUUAUAACAUGAUGAACUUUAUUAACAUUUUUAAAAUGGCACACGCCGUCGACUAUAUUUACUAUUUCUGUAACUUAAUUGUAUUUUUGUUGUCGCUUGAAUGUAUUGUUGUUUAAGCACGAUGUGUUUUAGGCUGCCCAGUACUUGCGGUGCUAAAUUUGUUGACUGGCAAACCGGAGACGCCUCAGGUAUUGUGUCACUAAUUGACUUAUUUCUAUGCAUUUUACUAUACACUUACUUUUUGAAGACUGUCGCGUAUUUUGUAUUUUGAAACUAAUUUAGCACCGUUUAUUUUUCACUAUUGAAGUAAAAAUAUGACUCAGAAUCACAAGGUACUUGUAUCUUGAAAUUAAGUAUUCAGAAUGAACCUAAUUACUUAGGUACAAUGCCAUUAUUAUUCUACUUGGGAAUAAAAAUGGAUAGCCACUAACGGAGUGAAAUAAAUAAGUAAAUUGAGAUUGCCUUUUUCUGCAGUCCGGUUGGCGUGCGCCAAUCAGAACAGAUACUCAGAUGUUUCUAAUUGGCUAACGCAAAAGCUAUAAGUAGGUAUAUCCGCUUAAAGUGAAUCAAAAUAAUUAUAUUAUAACUAUUGGUGUGACUUCAUGGCGGAACGAAGACAGAUUUACGUCAAAACUCUAAAGGUAAAUGAUGCUCUUGCUAGCGUUUCUUUUAAUACGUUUUAUUGCUUUGCAUUAUAAAUAUUAUAAUUAUUUAAAAUGUUGGACUGAUAUUCAAUUUAUAGUCUAAUAAUAUAGGUGAUUUUCACAUACUUAUUGACCUAACAUUUUUGGCAAUCAAACUAUAUCUAUCUUUAAAACCAAAGACUAAUAUUAUACUGGUAUUGAUUUUGAUAAAUAUUUUCUAAUUGAGAAAGCUAUAUAAAAAGUCUUCCUUGUUACAUUUGAAUAUAUUGGUCAAUAAGUAUAUGAAUCGAUGGUUUGACAUUUAUCUUUAGAGAUAUGCAUAGGAUUGUAUUUUAUAUAAUAGUAGUGCUUAAAUAUUUAAAGAUAACCCGUUAUAUCUGCGCAUCCCAAGUGCCUUAGUUAAAUGUAUAAUGUUCUUUGGGGUUAUAUAUAAAAUGUUAUUAUAUAACUUAGUUAAGUUAGAGGAGAUUAAAUUAUUGUUAACUUUGCUAUGUUUAUCGUUAAUCUGCAGUUUUGGAUCUAGAUUUUAUAUAAAUAUAGUCGAGCGUCAUACUCUAGUGUUGGAAGCAUAUAACUUAUCGACCUUAUAGUAAGUGCCUCCUAAUUAUCUCCGGUAAGAAUCUCUUAUUUACCCGUUGAAGGAUUAAUCUCCAUUUUAUCUUUUUAUAUGUGUAGCUUACUCAUAAAGUUAAUACGUUUAUUCUUACAUAUAUAGAAAACUUAUCAGUUGCUGUAGCAAUAUUUUUCAAAAAUAGGUAGUGCAAUAGAAAUGUUAUUUCUUCUUAAUAUUUUAUUAUUAAAAUCUCAAAUAUGAAAAUGUUGAGUAGAUAUAAUUAUAAAAAUAUUUCAUAGAGAUCUGAUAAUGAGAUUACUACGAAUAAUGGAUUCGUCGCUAAAAAGAAAAACUUGAUGAUUUACUUCAAACAGCAAAUUGGCUUCAAUGAAUUAUAACUGCUAAAAUAUGCUAUAAAAAUAGACAUAACCUCAAUUAAUAUACCUACCUUUUGAAGUUGUUAACACUCCGUCCAUGGAUACAUUAUUUUAAGUACUUAAUUCGUUGGUCUCGUGAAUAGUUAAGAACGGAUCCGUUUGGGCAUCGAGAUCAUACAAUUGUGUUAACACUUAUUCUUAAUAAUAGUCAUACGUAUUUUAUAGAAUAGGUAUUUUCCUUUCAUAAACUCCUGAAAUUAAUUAGAAAAAUAUCAAACACGGUAAUAUUAUUCAAGAUGUUAUUAGGAUCAAAAGUAAAAAAAAAACAGUCUCUAAAAAUAUAAAAGUAUACCAUUAAAGUGUACCAUUGAAACAAUGUAAUUAAACAUUCUACAUGUUCUUGUUCGUAACCUUUUACAUAGAAUUUAUUGUAUGUGAGUGCCUUAUAAUGUGUACAAAAUAGCACAGCUUAUACAAAUGACGCAUUUACCGUGGAAUUAUAAAAACCAAUGCCAUAUACCGGUGAAACAUGGAAUGGAAUAGGAAACGUAGCUACAUCAAGUAAGAUUGUUGAUCAAGUAAAGUAGGUAAUAUCGUACAAAGUAUAAAUAAUCGUUCUGCUUAUAGUUAGUUAUAGGUUAUUUAUUGUGUUUCAUUGCGAUAACAAUAUAAUUUGUUUCUUGAAACAUGUCUAGUGCCAUCAUCAGACGUCGGCGAAGGGCUUCUACAUGUUAUUAUUUUUUGUUUAAAUUUGUACUUAUUUUACCUACAUUAACGGCAAUUCACAAAUCAAGUGCCUUAAAUGAACUUUGUACAUAUUUAUAUAAUAAUUAUUUUUCAAUAAAGUAUUAUAACGAAAAAUAAUAAAUAUCUUAUAUACUUAUACACUUAUGUAAUUGUUUUCCAAAAACAAAAUAAAGAAUACUUUUAUUACUUUUAGUUAAGUGAGAUUGUGCAUAUGUCUGUUUUGAUGUGUGUAAUAUUGAUUUGGCAUUAGUAAAUAUUUGGAUAAUG